UAAAAUAUUUCAACUUGAUAAUGAUGCAAGUUCGUAACCUGCUAAGAGUUACGCCUUGGUCUUCCAGGAACAACAAACAAACCAUCCAUACUAGGAAUCUAAAUGUUCUCCUUACUACAAAAUAAAAUCACAUCAUGAAGAAGAGACGUCCAACCUUCAUCUCUUAGACCUUGUAAUCUGAGUUUAGAUAUACUAACAAGUUGAAUAGCAUUAACUAUGUCUUGAUCUUUUCUUUGUAAUGCUACUGACAAUUCAUUUGUUACCGACAAUACCAUAGUCAUUAACUUCAACAUAAAGGCAAAACUGAAUAAGUGAAGCCUCAAGAACAAAUCAUAUGCAUCAACAUACUACUUCAUUAGUUCCUCCAUAUAGCAUAUCAUCUAAAACUUCAAUCACACUAAAGAGUAUACUGCCCAAAUUGAUCAAAGUCCCAAAAUGAGAACCCGAACGAGUAUUGCAAUGUCUUUUUAAACCCAAUUCUUGAUUCAGCCAUCUUCCAGUCUCUAACUCACCACUAGCUUGAGUAGCAGCAACUUUGGUAGCUUGACGUUUUUU
rnacentral:lncRNA from 1 species